GUGUAUGGUGAUGGAAUCAAGCAGAGGAUCUGCAUGUUCUUCAUCAUUUCCCUCUUUUCCAUUUUGCAGUACCAUAAUGGUAUAGUUAAGGUUUCUGUGCUUCAUCGUAAUGAUAAUAAUAAUAAAUGUUCUGAGAAAUAAUAUUAUGAAGCUUUCAUGGCAUGCAUAUAAUAUAGUUCUUUCGGACACUCUUCUAUGCUACAUAUAUACUGAAACAUUUUGAGUCACAAUAAGCAUUGCAUCACCAUAAGCUUCACACUUACCCUUUCGACUCACCCAUAAACUCUCAUUUUAGUGAUAGGAAAAAAACGCAUCCCAAAGCAGCACCUACAAUCGAUUGUAAAAAAUAAAUAAUAUAAAAUGUUUUGAUCGUGAAUAUGCAACCUACAACUAUAACUAUAAGUAAUUAAUUAAAUUUUCAUUUUGUUUUGUUAUAAUUUUAUAAAAGAAUUUAAAUAAAAAUUAUAAAAAAAACACAAUAAUUAAACUCGUUCACUAAAAUCACUAAAAAAAAAUAAGGAUCUACUAAUUGUAGAUUCACAUUCAACACUUAAUACAUAAAAGAUAAAGCAAAGCAAGAAACUGAUUAAUUCGUGGGUAGAACAAUAAAAAGGUCCCCUUCUUUAAUUUCCCUUUCCUUUUCUCAUUUUAUCAAAAUCCUCAUUCUAAUUUAUUAUAAUAUAUGAUGUGAUAUAUCAUAGUGCUUCAGUUCUUGGUAGUUCGUCCACCCAUAAAUAUGCAUAUUCCCUUCCUCUAAAUUUGAUUGCGAUUUUUCUUGGACAGUUGGUGAUACAUCAAAGUACACCCAACUCAAAAGUCAGAGCAAUUACGAAGGGUAUUCUUGAAAAAAAAUCAAAAAGUUAAAAAAAACUACGAACAGUAAUUCUCAUUUUUUUACAUUUCACUGAUAAUUGAUAAGUUCGUGGUGGUGUAAUUUUUUAUUAAAAAAUAAUAAAUAACAAAUAUUUUAGAGAUACUUCAUUUCUAAUAUAAAAAAGACAAGUUAUAUAUACGUAUAAUCUUAAAAAAUAGGAAAGGUGAACAAAAUUUAUUACAAUAAUUAUUUGUUUACUCCACACGAGUUGAUCAAUGGAGUUGUAUCACUGAAAAUGUCACUAAUUAGAUACAUAAAAAUAUUUUUUUGUCAAUAAAAAUAAUAAAUAAAUAAAUAUAAAUCAUUUAAGAAGUGGUUAAACUCAUAUACAUGUCAAAAUUUCACUCAAAAGAGAAAUUAUGUAAUUUUGCUAAAACUUACUAACUCAAAACCAACAAACACAUUUAAAAGAAUAAUACCAUCCAACAUUAAAAAGCAUAUGAAGUGGUAGAUACAUUAUUUUUCUUUACCAACAAAAAUAAAUUAAAUUUAAAUGAAUAUUCAAGAGAUGAUUUAACUCAUUUGCAUAAAAAAAAUAUAAAAAUAUGAGGUUAGUCACCUCCAUUCCCAAUAUGCUCUAUUCCAAACUUACUCUAUAUAAUACAAUCCCAAAAUAUGAGAAAUGCAGAAUUGUUGGUUGUAAUAGAAGAGUUACCUAGUUUUGGUUUUAGAUCUAAUUCAACACCAAAACUAACUUAUAAAAAUACUAAUUAUUCCUUAAGAUAUCACACAAUAAAACAUAUAUAUAUAUAUAUAUAUAUAUGAAAGUGAAAGAAGAGUUUCAUUUCAUACUUACAAUAACUUUUGAAAUGGACUUACAUCCAACCCUAAAUUCUGAAGAGUUUCAUGUGUCUUCCAUAAAUUUGCAAACCCCAUAGUUAUUGUUUGGUACUCUCCCACUGAAGUUAGUGGCUCCAAAUGAAUGAAAAAGAAAUUAGAGAAAGACAAUGACUUACAUAGUACUAGUGCACUACUACACUCUCCAAGCAUUUAUCCAUGGAGGCCAAUGUGUCCGUAGAUCAAUUCAAAGCGAAGCCUCCAAAUUUGGACGAUGUUCUUUGCAACUCACAAACCAGUAUGAAUAGGAUGCAAU
rnacentral:lncRNA from 1 species